UACGUAGGGGGCGAGCGUUGUCCGGAUUUAUUGGGCGUAAAGAGCGUGUAGGCGGCCAGGUAGGUCUGCCGUGAAAACUCGAGGCUCAACCUCGAGACGUCGGCGGAAACCAUCUGGCUAGAGUCCGGAAGAGGAGAGUGGAAUUCCUGGUGUAGCGGUGAAAUGCGCAGAUAUCAGGAAGAACACCCGUGGCGAAGGCGGCUCUCUGGGACGGUACUGACGCUGAGACGCGAAAGCGUGGGGAGCGAACAGG
rnacentral:rRNA from 1 species